rnacentral:rRNA from 1 species
UACAGAGGGUGCGAGCGUUAAUCGGAAUUACUGGCGUAAAGCGCACGUAGGUGGCGACGUAAGUCGGGUGUGAAAGCCCCGGGCUCAACCUGGGAAUUGCAUUCGAGACUGCAUUGCUGGAGUACGGAAGAGGAAGGCGGAAUUCCCGGUGUAGCGGUGAAAUGCGUAGAUAUCGGGAGGAACAUCAGUGGCGAAGGCGGCCUUCUGGUCCAGUACUGACACU